rnacentral:rRNA from 1 species
GAUGAAUGCUGGCGGCGUGCCUAAUACAUGCAAGUCGAGCGGUAAGGCCCUUCGGGGUACACGAGCGGCGGACGGCUGAGUAACGCGUGGGAACAUGCCCCAAAGUGAGGGAUAACGCACCGAAAGGUGUGCUAAUACCGCAUAUGGUCUUCGGAUUAAAGGAUUUAUCCGCUUUGGGAGUGGCCCGCGUACGAUUAGAUUGUUGGUGAGGUAACGGCUCACCGAGUCGACGAUCGUUAACUGGUCUGAGAGGAUGAUCAGUCAGACUGGAACUGAGACACGGUCCAGACUCCUACGGGAGGCAGCAGUAAGGAAUCUUCCACAAUGGGCGAAAGCCUGAUGGAGCAACGCCGCGUGCAGGAUGAAGGCCCUCGGGUCGUAAACUGCUUUAUGAGUGAAGAAUAAUGACGGUAACUCAUGAAUAAGCACCGGCUAACUACGUGCCAGCAGCCGCGGUAAU